rnacentral:rRNA from 1 species
CCUACGGGAGGCAGCAGUGGGGAAUUUUGGACAAUGGGGGCAACCCUGAUCCAGCCAUUCCGCGUGAGUGAAGAAGGCCUUCGGGUUGUAAAGCUCUUUCAGCUGGAACGAAACGGUACGCUCUAACAUAGCGUGCUAAUGACGGUACCAGCAGAAGAAGCACCGGCUAACUACGUGCCAGCAGCCGCGGUAAUACGUAGGAGGCGAGCGUUAUCCGGAUUUACUGGGCGUAAAGAGGACGCAGGCGGCCUUUCAAGUCGGAUGUAAAAUCUCCCGGCUCAACUGGGAGGGACCGUUCGAUACUGUUAGGCUUGAGUGCAGCAGAGGGAAGCAGAAUUCCCGGUGUAGUGGUGAAAUACGUAGAUAUCGGGAGGAACACCAGUGGCGAAAGCGGCUUUCUAGGCUGUAACUGACGCUGAGGUCCGAAAGCGUGGGGAGCGAACAGGAUUAGAUACCCUGGUAGUCCACGCCCUAAACAAUGGACACUAGGUAUGGGGAGUAUCGACCCUCUCUGUGCCGCAGCUAACGCUUUAAGUGUCCCGCCUGGGGACUACGGCCGCAAGGCUAAAACUUAAAGGAAUUGACGG